UGAAACCCGGGCUAGCAUGGAAUUGCAUUUACAUCGGUUAGGAGUGGUCAGAGGGGGUGGAUCGCGGUAGCAGUGAAAUGCGUAGAUAUGCGAAGCACACCGAUGCGAGGCAGCCUCUUGGAUAACAAUGACGUUCAUGCACGAAAGCGUGGGGAGGCAAACAGAUAGAUACCUGGUAGUCCACGCCUAAACGAUGUCAACUAGCUGUUGGGGCGUUCGGGCCUUAGUAGCGCAGCUAACGCGUGAAGUUGACCGCCUGGGGAGUACGGUCGCAAGAUAAACUCAAAGGAAUUGACGGGGACCCGCACAAGCGGUGGAUGAUGUGGAUUAAUUCGAUGCAACGCGAAAAACCUUACCUACCCUUGACAUGUCUGGAAUCCCGAAGAGAUUUGGGAGUGCUCGCAAGAGAACCGGAACACAGGUGCUGCAUGGCUGUCGUCAGCUCGUGUCGUGAGAUGUUGGGUUAAGUCCCGCAACGAGCGCAACCCUUGUCAUUAGUUGCUACGAAAGGGCACUUUAAUGAGACUGCCGGUGACAAACCGGAGGAAGGUGGGGAUGACGUCAAGUCCUCAUGGCCCUUAUGGGUAGGGCUUCACACGUCAUACAAUGGUCGGGACAGAGGGUUGCCAAACCGCGAGGUGGAGCUAAUCUCAGAAACCCGAUUGUAGUCCGGAUUGUAGUCUGCAACUCGACUACAUGAAGUCGGAAUCGUUAGUAAUCGCGGAUCAGAAUGUCGCGGUGAAUACGUUCCCGGGUCUUGUACACACCGCCCGUCACACCAUGGGAGUGGGUUCUACCAGAAGUAGUUAGCCUAACCGCUAGGAGGCCGCAUACCACGGUAGAUCGGUUUGU
rnacentral:rRNA from 1 species